rnacentral:rRNA from 1 species
GACGGAGGGUGCGAGCGUUAAUCGGAAUUACUGGGCGUAAAGCGCAUGUAGGCGGCCGAGCAAGUCAGGUGUGAAAUCCCAGGGCUUAACCUUGGAAGGGCACUUGAUACUGUCAGGCUUGAGUUCGGGAGAGGAAGGGGGAAUUCCCGGUGUAGCGGUGAAAUGCGUAGAUAUCGGGAGGAAUACCGGUGGCGAAGGCGCCACUCUGGACGGAUACUGACGCUGAGGCGCGAAAGCGUGGGGAGCAAACAGG